CCUCCCUCCUCAUUCCACACGCCCCAUCUCCUCCCCACACCUCUCCCACUUGUUCUUCUACUCCACUCAAGAUCUUUUCAUCCUUGCCAAGAGUUGUUGAAGAAUCAAGAUUUAUAUUUGUUCUACCGAUCGUUUCAAUCAAGAAAGGUUGAGCGGCGACGAGCGGUUGGUGGUGUUGAGCAAAUAUCAAUAAAAACUAUGGUUGUCUUGAAACACCGAGUGUCGUUGUGUCUUCACACAUGACUUCACUCUUCUCUUGGAUGCUUUCGAUGUGACAUUUCCUUUACUUGUCUUUUAUUAAACUUUGAAGCUGUCUAUUUGAAUGUUUGAAAACUUGGUAUCUUUUGAAUAAUGUCAAACCCUUGAUCGUUUUAUUAAUUCUGGUUCAAACCUUUAUUGAAACCCUAGUUUCUAUGUAUGUUCUUUAAGUUCUUUAAUCACGAUCGCCCGCAUUUAUUAACCCUAAAGGGCGGUCGUGACAAUUCCACUGCAUUUUACACAUCAUUCACAAGCAUAACAACAUAAGCUCUGUCUCUCUCUCUGCAUUGUUUUUCUGUCGAAAGCUAUGCCCUCUCCUCCAUCCAGUUCGCCGGAGCUCUGUUGAUUGCGAUGCUGCUUCACCAGAGACGUAGUCGUUUUAUCUUUGGGGACGACACGCCAAACCGAGAGCACUACCAGGGCGUAUCUCGUCUUGCGGAAAGAGGCCUCCUCGACUCAGCUAAACAACUGUUCAUGGUUACUGUUUCGAAUUUCUCAAUUGUAAUUUCAUUUCAAUUUCCCCUUUUGUAUUCCUAUUUUUGGAUUGUAUUACACCCAGUUAUAUCUCUUGUAAUCCCAAAAAUCAACAAUUGCAACCAAUAGAAUAACACUUUCCCCUUUUGUAUUCCUA